ensembl:lncRNA
AUUUAUUUAUUUUUCCUAUUAAAGGGGGAAGAGCUGUGUUUUAUUCCUUUGCAAUCUUUCAUGAACUACUGCUCUUCAGGAACAGAGAUCGCUUGUGCAAGAGGGAGAGCAAUUGCUUAUUGGUGUAAUUGUAGCAGUUGAAGACAGCAUAAAGGGCAGGUAACUGACAGCAUCUGUCUGAAAGAUAUUCAGAGUCUCUCCUGCUUCAUUGGGAGUGUUUGUACAAGUUGUCAGAUACUUGUCCUAAGGUGAGUGAAAAUACACAACUGGAGCAAAAGUUCAGAACAUGAGUAAUUAACGAAGUCCCUUUUAUCACUCUUUUCACUUUAUCUCUCUUCUGUUUCAGUGGUGUUUGUUUCACUUCCAUAAAGAAGACAACAGCUCUGGACUCUGAUAAAACAAAGCUUGGCAGAGUCCCAGGCACGGUAUCUUGUUCUGGCACUACACUCAGCUUGAUCUUCUCAUUUACCUCACAGGUAUUCAGCAGGACUGCUUCAUCACAUUGUGUUAUGAGUGUUCAACAAGCGUGCUCGAGGAAAGCCUAUGUCACUUGUAGAUGUAUCCUGACACCAAGUGAAUCACGCUGCUUCACACUGCACUGAAUCAUUGGCAUUCAGUCUUCAAAAGCCAGGAGUGUACAUCUUUGGGAGACGAAGCUGCAAAAGAAUUUUGAAUAGUUUGAACCUGGGGGUGCUUCUGGCUCAGCUAGUAUCAAUGACAUGUUGGCUUUGGAAAAUGACAAACUCCUCAGUCUGGUGCUGGAAGAAUUAGAAGGGUUUGAAACGUGGGAAAAUAAUGGAGAAACAGCUUUGAAAUGGUUAUUCAUCUCCUUCAAAUACACCCACUGGACAACUGGGACAGAUACAAGCUUCAAAGGAAGGUACCUCCCACUGAGCCCAGAAAACUUCAGUGACAUCUGGGAGAGAAGUGAUGAAACUGUACCUGGACAACUACAUUAAUACGUAACUUGUUGGCAGCAUGGGCUGUGUUAUGUGCGGUCUGCCUGUUCCUGCUUUACCCAGAGAGCACCAACAGUAAGCUGGACCAUCCUCAGCUGGCUGCAGAAUUCAGGUUGCGAGAGCUGCCCUGUGGCAAGUGAACUGCAAUGUGAGUGAGCUUCUUGAGUGCUGUCCUUACCUGGGUGUAAAUGUGUCUUGUGUGGCAUUACAGUCCCACUUUCUUUCACUUCUUCUAUUCCUGUUGGGACCAUGCCACUGUGCAAGAAGUGUGACAGUUCUGUUGGGAGCUGAGCUCCAGUUUUGUCCAAACAAUCAAAUACAGAGGCUAACCUCGCUUGAUGUGAGAAAGAAAGAUUCUUUGAAUGGCAGGAGAUGUGAGGUGGCUGUACAGAAGUCUGUACAUAUGUGAGGCACUGCACAUGCAGUCUGCAGAUGAUGAUGUGAGUGAAGGCUUCCCCUUUACGGAGCUGAGGUGUUUGCAAAACCACAUGAAGGGGUGGCUGGAUAAGCUCUUUCAUAUUGCCCACGACUGUGCGUAUUCAUCCACCUACUCAGUCAACAUUUUAUGAGGGAUAAUCUAUAAUGGUUAAUUAACAGACUAUAUACUGUUUCCCCAGACCAUCAUUUUUUCUUGCCUUGCAUACUGUAUAAAAGGUAGAAGGGAAAUUCUGCCAAAUGACGGCAUAUCCUCUUUUGCAACAAAUGGAGAAGCAUGCUGGGUGUGAGGCCUCCUAACUGGACAUGCAGGUGCUUCAUUUCAUCUGCACCUGAAUUUGGAAGCAUUGGAGUUCCAGCUGCUCACCUUUCAUUUCAAGGUUUCUGAAUUGCUUUAAUGAAAAAUGAUUUGAUUUUAAAGAUGAAAGGUCAGACUGUGCCAUCAGUUUAAUUGGAUUUGGCCGUGGCCACUUUGACGUUCAUUUGUGAUAGGAAAAACAGACUUAAGGGAUUUCAAUCACUCUUAAACUCAUAAACGGAGGGAAAAUGUUUCCUGCCAUCGGUCAAUGAAAAUUGGUGAGGAUCAUGGCCCGAGGCACAGCUAUGAGGUAAACAACCCCAAAACCUCUCUCUUGGAAAGGAAAAAAAAAGUAAUAAAAACAUAUCUGUUGUGUGAAAUUCA